CUUAAAUUUGACAGACCAAUAAUUUUUCUCUCGGUCGUGUUCGCUGUUUUCUUGUUCACCCCUAUAUAGUUUUCGAUUUCGGUAAUUCGCGUAGUGACCGUCGCUCAGAACCCUCCGAAUAGAACCGGAAUCACGAUUGAAGACCAGAAAAAUGACUGGCACAGCAACAAAGAUAGCCUGCCGAAUGGAAUUCAACUGGAACUGAAGUUUUCUGGAACCGGAGGAAGCUUCCUGAAAAGCCGACAUGGAGCAUGAAGACAAGUCAGCAACUUUAUCAGCAUUAACUUCCGUCGUAUUGCUCAGUUUCAAAGCCGAAGCCAACGGAGUCUUGGUCGCCGUAGGAAUGUGAACAGAAUUGCCGGUGUUUCAAAUGAUAUUUCUCUGAUGGUCAGCCUCAAAUCAUCAUGUGCCAUUGGGCACGUCACGCCGUUGCAAAUAUGCCUUAGAGUGGAUCGAACCAUUUGCGGAUCGGUGAACCCGCAUAGAAAAAUACAUUUUGGCUUACAUUGAAAACAGUACAUUUCUUCUAACUGGUAAGGUUACUGUAGGGUCAAUAGGGGCAGUAUGGUCCACCUAAGCAAAAGUUCUUGAAAAGCAUAGAAAAACAAUACAAUUUAAUCGAUCCAUAAGCUUAAUUUGUAGUUUGAAGCAUCUCCUUUCAUACCACAGUUGUAUUCUGGUAAAAAGAUUACUUAGAAUUUUUUUGGGAACAUUUUUGAAAAACACUAUUUUGUGUGUGACUCUACACUAUACGGGGCGAAAUGGUCCCCCCUACGGGGCAAUAUGAGCCAUCAUACUAAAUCUUAUUAUUUUAAUUGGAAAACCAUUUGCAAGGCAUAAUUUAGAAGAAGACAAUAAUGUAUGAUAGAGUUUAGUACAAAAACUGGGUUGAAGUCUGAUUUGUAUCAUGAAAUGGUAUGUUUUGCUGACAGUUCAAUAAAUCAUGGUUCUAAGAGCUUCAGUUUUCAAACAUAGUCGUUCAAAUAAGUUUAACCAGGUAAAAAUUCUAGUUUUAAUUGAAAUCACGUGCGAUAACAAUAUUGCAAUUAAACUGCUAAAAUGACAUGCCAUUUUUGGUUAUCUAUUUUUGUGAUAAGAUAGCUUUGACCGGCUAUGACCAUAUUGCCCCGUUCCUAGAUGUUUCAUAUAAAUUAUAUUUUAUUGAAAAUUUAUUUUAGAAUCUAUACAAUUUUGUGCACAUAAUGCCUAUGAAUAAUGAAAGAACGAACUGCUGUGAAAAAAAUU